rnacentral:rRNA from 1 species
CCACGUCUCCUUCGGGAGCGCGCACACAGGUGCUGCAUGGCUGUCGUCAGCUCGUGUCGUGANAUGUUGGGUUAAGUCCCGCAACGAGCGCAACCCACGUCCUCAGUUGCCAUCAUUCAGUUGGGCACUCUGGGGAGACUGCCGGUGAUAAGCCGCGAGGAAGGUGUGGAUGACGUCAAGUCCUCAUGGCCCUUACGGGAUGGGCUACACACGUGCUACAAUGGCGGUGACAGUGGGACGCAAACCCGCGAGGGCAAGCAAAUCUCCAAAAGCCGUCUCAGUUCGGAUUGCACUCUGCACCUUGGGUGCAAAAAGGCGG